CAGAGGGGGCAAGCGUUAUUCGGAAUUAUUGGGCGUAAAGGGCGCGUAGGCGGCUUUGCAAGUGACGGGUGAAAUCCCUCGGCUUAACCGAGGAACUGCCUGUCAGACUGCAUGGCUUGAGACCAGGAGAGGUGAGUGGAAUUCCCAGUGUAGCGGUGAAAUGCGUAGAUAUUGGGAGGAACACCAGUGGCGAAGGCGGCUCACUGGACUGGUACUGACGCUGAGGCGCGAAAGCGUGGGGAGCAAACAGGAUUAGAUACCCUGGUAGUCCACGCCGUAAACGAUGAGUGCUUGGUGUAGCGGGUAUCGACCCCUGCUGUGCCGAAGUCAACACAUUAAGCACUCCGCCUGGGGAGUACGGUCGCAAGACUG
rnacentral:rRNA from 1 species